rnacentral:lncRNA from 1 species
UAAGACUAAGGAUGUUGCAUGAAAUAAAAUCAUUACAGGAAGUAUGACGGUAUCAGGGACUUUUUACAAAAACAAACUUCCAGAUCACAAGAGGAAGCUGUGUUUGUGUGCUGACAGAAAGUAUUUAACAGCAGUCAGGAGAGGAAGGCAGGAUGAGAGCCAACUUGGAUCUAUUUUUGAAGAAUUAUUUCUGUAGAGUGUCAUGGAAUUGUAAGUUACAAAAAAGAAUGCUUUGGUAAACAGUCUUCUCCAUUCCAAAAGGACUCACUCCAAAAUACCACUUAAUGAAAUUCACGGGAAUGUUAUGAAGAUGGAAAUCCCAAAUGACAGGCAGACUUUACAAGCGAACAGUCCUACUUUUUGUAAAUCCUGGCAGUGUGCAUUUACCAAAAUCUCCGUCACACCAUGCUCUCUUGCUAUAUAUAGCACUCCAUCUGAUCUGAUCGCUAUACCAUGCGGCAAGAUGCAUGUCCUUGCUUUCUUCUGAUUUUUAACUAGUCUUAAAUUUGUCUUAGCGUAGCAGUGACUCCUGCUUCUCAAGGUUGAGCUACUAUUUGGUACAUUUUAGAAAUCUCAAAUUAACGUGUGUGUACUCAGUCACUACUGAACCCAAUGACCAAUCAGCUUUAAAUAGGUCUUUUUACUUUCUAUGGAUUCAUCCCUCUAUUUAUCAAACCAUUUCUUGUUUUUAUAUGUAACUCUAUCACCUGUCUUUAAUUAUAUAUAUAGAAUCACUCUCAUCUG